GGGGUCUCUAGACAUAAUUUGAAGGGGGGGAGUGAAUUUUCCAUGGAACAUUCCAGAACAUAAGUGUUAAAAUAGUUCUACAGACAUUAAAUGUUAUAUAAUUGUAUAUUAUUAUGGGAAGAACAAUAUGCAGCAGUAGUUUGACUUUGGAAUUUUUAAAAUGGCGGCCGUUACCAUGGAAACAGCAAAAAUACAAAAAAUAUCAAAAUGCUCCAAAUUCAUUGAGAUUUAAAACAGAAGAUACAAUGUAUGCAAAAAUCUGCAUUUACUGAUGGACAAUUUCGAAAUGGCUGCUGUUGAGUGUCAAUUUGCAGACCAGGGU
rnacentral:lncRNA from 1 species